rnacentral:rRNA from 1 species
AUUGAACGCUGGCGGCAUGCCUUACACAUGCAAGUCGAACGGCAGCACGGGUGCUUGCUCUGGUGAAUUGGUGGCGAACGGGUGAGUAACACGUGAGUAACCUGCCCUUGACUCUGGGAUAACUGCGGGAAACUGUAGCUAAUACCGGAUACGACCCUCGGAGGCAUCUCCUGGGGGUGGAAAGAAUUUCGGUCAAGGAUGGACUCGCGGCCUAUCAGCUAGUUGGUGAGGUAAAGGCUCACCAAGGCGACGACGGGUAGCCGGCCUGAGAGGGUGACCGGCCACACUGGGACUGAGACACGGCCCAGACUCCUACGGGAGGCAGCAGUGGGGAAUAUUGCACAAUGGGCGCAAGCCUGAUGCAGCGACACCGCGUGAGGGAUGACGGCCUUCGGGUUGUAAACCUCUUUUAGCAGGGAAGAAGCGAAAGUGACGGUACCUGCAGAAAAAGCGCCGGCUAACUACGUGCCAGCCGCCGCCGUAA